AUGCGGCUAAACCCUAAACCCCUCCGCGGAUGGAUCCUUCUAGAGCUACCAUCUGGUCCCCUGGCUUCCCUCCCCCGCUACUGCAAAGCCUCCGCCCUCUGGAGUUUCUUUCCCCUUCUCCAAGUUGCUCGCCUCCUUUUCACCCCUGACCCCCCAUCCCGCUCGCCGCCUCCAUCCUCACCCCCUCCCAGCAGAGAGACCGCCCGCGAGAUCCAAACAGUCGCCUCCCUCCCUCCCUCCGUCGCCAUGUACCGCGCCGCCGCCAGCCUCGCCUCCAAGGCCCGGCUAGCCGGGAGCAGUGCCCGACAGGUCGGGAGCAGGCUCGCCUGGAGCAGGAACUAUGCCGCCAAGGACAUCAGGUUCGGCGUCGAGGCCCGGGCCAUGAUGCUCAAGGGGGUCGAAGACCUGGCUGAUGCGGUCAAGUUGACUAUGGGUCCCAAGGGGCGCACUGUUAUUAUUGAGCAAAGCUUUGGUGCUCCCAAAGUUACAAAGGAUGGAGUCACCGUUGCCAAGAGCAUUGAGUUCAGUGACAGAGUCAAGAAUGUAGGUGCAAGUCUUGUGAAGCAGGUCGCUAAUGCGACAAAUGAUACUGCUGGAGAUGGUACAACAUGUGCUACUGUUCUGACAAAGGCAAUAUUCACUGAGGGAUGCAAGUCCGUUGCAGCUGGUAUGAAUGCAAUGGAUCUGAGACGCGGCAUCUCAAUGGCUGUUGAUUCUGUGGUAACAAACCUAAAGGGCAUGGCCAGGAUGAUCAACACGUCUGAGGAAAUAGCACAGGUGGGUACUAUAUCAGCUAAUGGUGAAAGGGAAAUUGGUGAGCUCAUUGCAAAGGCUAUGGAGAAGGUUGGCAAAGAGGGGGUUAUCACCAUUGCGGAUGGUAACACUCUAUACAAUGAGCUUGAAGUUGUGGAAGGCAUGAAGCUUGACAGAGGUUACAUUUCUCCAUACUUUAUUACCAACCAAAAGAACCAGAAAUGUGAACUAGACGAUCCCUUAAUCUUGAUACACGAUAAGAAAGUAUCCAACCUUCGCUCAUUGGUCAAAGUGUUGGAGUUUGCUCUCCAGAAGCAAAGGCCUCUGCUUAUUGUUGCAGAAGAUCUAGAAAGUGAAGCACUGGGUACACUAAUUCUUAACAAGCUUCGUGGAGGCUUCAAGGUCUGUGCUAUCAAAGCUCCUGGUUUUGGAGAGAACAGGAAAUCCAACUUACAGGACCUUGCCAUCCUUACUGGUGGAGAAGUCAUAACUGAAGAACUUGGAAUGAACCUUGAGAACUUUGAGCCAAACAUGCUGGGUACCUGCAAGAAGGUUACCAUAUCUAAGGAUGAUACAGUCAUCCUUGAUGGAGCGGGUGAUAAGAAGGCCAUCGAAGAGAGAGCUGAGCUGCUGAGAUCUUCAAUUGAGCAAUGCACUUCUGACUAUGAUAAGGAAAAGAUACAGGAGCGGCUGGCAAAGCUUUCUGGUGGUGUCGCAGUCCUGAAGAUUGGUGGAGCGAGUGAAGCAGAAGUUGGUGAGAAGAAGGACAGAGUGACAGAUGCGCUAAAUGCUACAAAAGCUGCAGUAGAGGAGGGUAUUGUACCAGGUGGUGGUGUUGCCCUUCUUUAUGCGUCAAAGGACUUGGAUAAAUUGCCUACAGCAAACUUUGACCAAAAGAUUGGUGUCCAGAUCAUUCAAAAUGCUUUGAAGACCCCAGUACAUACAAUUGCUACCAAUGCGGGUGUAGAAGGGGCUGUCAUUGUUGGCAAGCUCUUGGAGCAGGAAAAUACCGACCUGGGCUAUGAUGCUGCCAAAGGCGAAUAUGUGGAUAUGGUGAAGGCUGGUAUCAUUGACCCACUUAAGGUGAUCAGAACAGCACUGGUGGAUGCUGCAAGUGUGUCGUCUCUGAUGACUACCACGGAAGCCAUCAUCGUUGAGAUCCCCAAGGAAGACAAGGCGGCACCUGCAAUGGGAGGCGGCGGCAUGGGAGGGAUGGAUUUCUAA
rnacentral:rRNA from 1 species